CAAGUUCUCCAAGUUUCCUGAAAUAGCCUCUUCUAUUCAAUAUAUGUGUCCUUCCCAAGGAAAAAGUUCCUGAGGCUGCUAAGGAAAACACCAAAGAACACAGAUAUAACCUUCCAAUAAGGGCUCCUUCUAUGUGAAGCUUCCAAGGAGGGAUAUCCAUGCAGAGCCAAGGUGGAAGUUGUUUUGCAGAGGUUUCACCUUCUCACUUCUGCAUGAAAAGGGAGAAGCCCCUAGACACAGAAGCCCCCCUCAGUGAGCAGAUCUCCAGCGGAUGAGCUGGGUCAGGUUUUGGAAGAGAGAGCUUCAUUCUGCAGUUUCACUAACUAUUCAUAUUAGGCAAAGUAGUAAAAGCAAAGGCACCCUGAUGCAUCUGAGCAAAACCAAGCUCCCUCUACUUCCUACAAACCAUACAUGGGCAAAACAUCUUUAAACAUGCCCAUUCUGGAUCUUCUUAAACAUCCUCUUUUUCCCCCACCUUGUAACUAUCCAUAACUAAUUGAAACACCUGCAUGAUCCAUCUGAAUUACUUACAUGGAAGUUCUACUUGGGAAACCCUGACACAGUGUAAUAAGAAGUGUCGUUGGGAUUGUUCAUUCUCAGUCUUGACAAAAUUAAUUGAAUUUUAAAUGUGUGAUUAAUUUUAAGACUUUGGUCCAUUAAUAAUGUUUGUGUUCUAAUUAUCAGAUUUAACCUACUUAGUGACCAAGAUAAUUACCAGGCAAAACACUUAAUUAAAUUGGAGUUAAGACUGUAAACACAAUUUUCUUAAUGGAAAAACCUUAAAGAGAAUGCUCAAGAUCUCAAAAAAUACAAAUUUACAAGAACCUGGAAAGUCAAAGUUAAAACAUAUAUUUGAGUGUAACUGUAAGUUACAAACUUUGGAAGUUAAAUAUUAAGGUUAUCCAACCAAUUUCAACUCUGUCCCUUUUCUGUCUCUUAUAUUCUCCCCCCUGCCCAGCCACUGCAUCUUGUAUGAGAAAUACUGAUAUUUUGAUGAAAGGUUUAAGAAGAUCUGCUUUAUUUGGGGUAUUUGUUUAAGAAUCAAGGGGCUCUGAAGCACCUCUUUGAUUUUACAAGCUCUUCAGGACAGGCACCAUCUUUCUAUUAUGUUUGUACAAUGCACAAUGGGUUCCCAGUCCCUAAGUGGAGGCUCUAAACAAGACUGCGGUAGAAAAACACCUCCACAAUGGAAAUAAUAAAUAAACUAAUAAUAAUAUAUAUAUGUGACUAUGAGAUGAAAAGUCUGUUCCUAUCAUCAUGCACCUGUGGCAUGUAAGCUACAUAAUUUUUGAUCCAACUCCUUAGGGGUUCAGAGCCCCAGACACAGUAGACUUUCCCCAGCAUGUCUCUCUUCCUACCAUUCACCUCCAGGCAAUCCCUUCAUGAUUGUUUCCCCCCCCCCCACUCUCUAGAGAAGAGCAACCGCUUCUGCUUCUCCAUGCAACUCCUACCCAAAUUGAAGUAAUUGUAAUAGAGCAAACUUGAGCUCAAUGUGCUUAUUACUCACGUCUCUCAUAGUGUAUUCUGAAGCUGCGAUUAAAAUAUUUAUUUAAGAUUAAAUCUUUGCAUAUUGUGUCAGGAACCACUCUUUCACUUGACAUAUUGGUAUUGUUACACACGUUCUUCUCCACGUCUCCUCUCAAUGCUCUCACCUUCACUUGCAGUUCUAACAGAAUGAGACUUCCCCAGACACUCAAAAAUUGUACUUGCAAAUACAAUUCCCAGCUUUUAUGAAGCUUCUGGAUGAGUAAUGCAGAAACUAAUGUUCUUGUUACCUCCCAGCUCGCAGUUAGACAAUGUCUCUCAGUUAACACUUAACAGACUGUACUCACAGAGUGCCAGAAACGUACCCAGUCACUAUUAGAUCAUAUAAAUGAUGGAUUGUCUAUGGAUAAAAUACAAGUCUAAAAUGUACAACAGGAAAAAAAGAGGGGGGUAGAAAACAUUUACCCAGAAUUGCACUGUGUCAUAUCUAUGAUGGUUCAGAGAAACAAUUCUCCCUAGGCCAGUUUCCCUCUGUCAUUAUAUACUUUCCUAAUAGCUCUUUUCCAUGCAAGCAAUUGCUACAGUUGCCAAGGGAUUAUACAUGAUUACGAACAAGAGGAGAACUGCUCCAUUCAACAGUGAGUGGGAGGUAGUUGUGCAACAGCUAAUGGGAGAGGAGGUAUGCAGGAGAAGGAGAUACACUUCCCAGUAAGAUGCAGAUUUGCACUAUGAAAAAAUUUGAGAA